rnacentral:piRNA from 1 species
UAAGAAGAAAAUUUAGGUGCAAGCAUCGUGU